rnacentral:rRNA from 1 species
UACGUAGGGUGCAAGCGUUAAUCGGAAUUACUGGGCGUAAAGCGUGCGCAGGCGGUGAUGUAAGACAGAUGUGAAAUCCCCGGGCUCAACCUGGGAACUGCAUUUGUGACUGCAUGGCUAGAGUACGGUAGAGGGGGAUGGAAUUCCGCGUGUAGCAGUGAAAUGCGUAGAUAUGCGGAGGAACACCGAUGGCGAAGGCAAUCCCCUGGACCUGUACUGACGCUCAUGCACGAAAGCGUGGGGAGCAAACGAGG